CGUGAAGGUGCUGCUACUGAUGAAAGCACGGGUAGAGCUGUUGUGGUAAAUGCUUACCCAAAGUUACCUCUUAUCUCCUAAGUAAAAUCACAAAAUGAUCGAGGUAACUAUAUUCAAGCAUUUCUUAGCUCUAAUAAGCGUGAUGAUGAAGUAUGUAUUAUUGACUUAAGAGCUACAGACCACAUGACAUUUGUCCCUAAUGAUUUCUCAUAUAUCACUCAAAAAGAAAUCGGAUUGCUAAUGCUAAUGGAGUUACAUAUCCAGCGACGAGGGCUGAAACAAUGACUUUAUCACCCUCUCUCUCAUUAUCUCAUACUUUAGUUGUUCCAACUCCAUUAAAUAAAUUAAUAUCCAUAAGCCAAGUUACUGCUGGUCUCAAUGGUAUGGUAAUAAUUUAUCCUACAUUUUGUUUUUUUCAAGAUAUUCUCACCAAGAAGAUCAUUGGACGUGGUACCAAGACGAGGGAUUAUACUACAUGGAUGACUUCAGCACAGGAAGAGUUAAUCACAUACACCACAUGACCAAUGAUAAAGAGAGAGAUUCGGUUAUUACAGCGUUGCUUUGGGCAUCCAUCAUUUGGAUAUUUAAAAUAUUUAUUCCUAGGUCUCUUUUUUAAUUUGAACAAUUCUGCACGUACGAAAUUGUUUAUA
rnacentral:lncRNA from 1 species